GGGGAAGGUACUAGAAAGGGGCGGUGCUCGCGCGCGGCGUCGGCACCGCGCGCGCCCCCGAGGGGACGCGAGCGGAGCCUUCCCGUUCCCGCCGCCUUCUGGGCUUUGGGCUUCACAUCCCUGCCCUUUGGCCAUUGCCCGCCUCCAUGGACCGCACGUUGUGAGGACACGUCUGCAGUGCCACGUCCAGGUCUGGGCUCCUCAGUACAAGAGAGGCAGGGAGCCGCUGGAGAUGGUCCGGUGGGGAGUCACGAAGAUAAUUUGGGGUUUGAAACACCUCUCGUAUGAGAAGUGACUGCAGGAGCUGGGCCUGUUUAGUCUGGAGAAGCCUGAGAGGGGAUUCAUCAAUACAUGUAAAUAUAUCAAAGCUCAAGGAACGGAUAAUUAAGAAAUUCUUCGCAUAGAGAUAACAGCUACAAGACACUAAGAUUCCAAGAGAAGAAUUAUGGCCUCCUUAUUGGGAAGACACAGACUUCAAGGGACCAACACGAUUGAUUUACAAGAUGAGGAGGGGAGUUGAAACGAAGCAGAAGAAAUCCUUUCUUUGAAUUUUUGAAUCAUGUAUGAAUAUGCAACAGGCUAUUGGUUUUCAUUAGCAAGGGUCCACAGUUCUGAACAGUGGAUUGGUACCAUCAAAUAUGAAGAUACCGUAUUUGAAAAUUAUUUUCAAAGAGUUGCCCAGAAAACAAACAAGCAACAAACAAAGGUAACUGACAGAGGUUUUCUAAUCUGCCGGCUCUGUCUCAUAGUUUAAUAGUCUGUAAUGUUCAACUUCAGCAAUUAUCACUACUUAGUAAGAUCCCAGGAUUUAGUACUACAUUCAGUGCUGCACAAACAAUUCUGCAUUUUUAUAGCCAUACUGUAUUCAGUGACAGUUAACAUGGGACAAAAUAAAUGUUUGAGCUUUGUGUUUGUA